rnacentral:ncRNA from 18 species
AUAUAGCAUCUGCAGAGUUACCCUUUGGGUACGCCAACCGAGCUGUCAGCCACGGUGGUCCAGUUUGGAUGCGAAUUGUAGAACAAUUAAAACUGACAAAGA